CGGCAGGCCUAACACAUGCAAGUCGAGGGGUAGAGUUCUUCGGAACUUGAGACCGGCGCACGGGUGCGUAACGCGUAUGCAAUCUACCUUAUACAGGGGAAUAGCCCAGAGAAAUUUGGAUUAAUGCCCCAUAGUAUUAUUGAAUCGCAUGGUUUAAUAAUUAAAGUUCCAACGGUAUAAGAUGAGCAUGCGUCCCAUUAGUUAGUUGGUAAGGUAACGGCUUACCAAGACAAUGAUGGGUAGGGGUCCUGAGAGGGAGAUCCCCCACACUGGUACUGAGACACGGACCAGACUCCUACGGGAGGCAGCAGUGAGGAAUAUUGGUCAAUGGGCGCAAGCCUGAACCAGCCAUGCCGCGUGCAGGAAGAAGCAUCUAUGGUGUGUAAACUGCUUUUAUACAGGAAGAAACAACGCUACGUGUAGCGUCUUGACGGUACUGU
rnacentral:rRNA from 1 species